rnacentral:lncRNA from 1 species
ACGGUUCAUUGCUAGUCAGAGAAUGUUUUGGUCUAACACUGUUAAUACAAACAUUCAUAGAGAUGGGCGGAUAUUGCACUACAAAAGAAGUUGUGGCCUUGUCUGUUCGGAACUGGCUAUUAACAAACAAAGAUACAACUGUUCAUUCCUUCCAAACACAGUCAUAUCCUAACUUAUUUCUCUCCUUCGCUAGCACGUCCGCAAUAGCAUUUGUACUCCCCAUCUCAUGGUGGACCGGUGAGUUCCCCAUUUGCUCCAGAAGAUUCCUGCAAAUGGAGAUUAAAUUAAUUUCAUCAAUAUUGCGUUCAAAAGGCCAUAUUCAUUAAGAGUUGUGACUAUUUUUUUGAAAUCAGUAGCAAUAACUACUUGAGUAAACUUCAUCUUGAUGGCUAGUUUAAUCCCCAUCACCAAGGCAAUCAUUUCGGCUUUCAAAGACUGAGUUAACAUUUAUAUUAGCACUGAAGCCUACCUACCAAUUCCCCUCAGUGUUCCUGAAGACACCUCCCGCACCCCCUUUUUUUGAAUUAUUGUGGGAGGAGUUGUCCACAUUCAAUUUUAUUCCUACAAGUGGGACUGACCAGCCCUCAUGGGCACAAGAGUACUCCUGCUGGCCUUUUCCUUAGCUGUCAAAAAAUGAUAUUCAACAGCUCUCUCACAGGCAACAUUAGUGGGAAUGUAAAGAUUAGUUUCAUUGAAGAUAUUGGAGUUUCGGUUGAGCCAUAUACACCAAAGAUAAAAGGGAAAAGCCUUUCUCCAAGUUAUAGUGUUUCUUAUCUUGAAAUUCCUAGUUUUCCUAAAACUAUCUAGCCAUUCCUCAUUGUGGAAAUUUGUAAUGUUGGUUAUUAAACUAGAUAGGUUGUUUUCUCUCCAGAAUUGGUGGACAUGCCUGCACUCCAGGAAAAUAUGCUUAAUGGUUUCAGGACUUUGACAAAGAGUACAAAGGGGGUCAAAAUCCCCAAAAAUAGAUUUUUUAUCAAAAAUUGGGUAACCAAUAAAAAUAUUUUCUUGUUAUGAAAUAAAAUAGCGGCAGAAAUAAAUUGUAAGAAAUGUAUUAUUUUUGUACUUUGUAUAUUUUUC